UGACCUCGGAUCAGACGUGAUUACCCGCUGAAUUUAAGCAUAUUAUUAAGCGGAGGAAAAGAAACUAACAAGGAUUCCCCUAGUAACGGCGAGUGAACGGGGAAGAGCCCAACACCGAAUCCCUUGGCGCAAGUCAACGGGAAAUGUGGUGUUAAGGUAGCCCUUCGUGUCAGUCUAGGCGUCUCAAGUCCACCUGAUUGUGGCUCA
rnacentral:ncRNA from 1 species